GGCGAACGCUAGCGGCGUGCCUAAGAAAUGCAAGUCGAACGAGGCUCCUCCUUUUCUUCGGAUUUGGAGGAUGUCCUAGUGGCGAACGGUCGAGUAACACGUGAGCAACCUGCCCCGCAGACGGGGAUAACCUCGGGAAACUGAGGCUAAUACCCGAUGUUGUCGUUCUGGGGCAUCCCAGGGCGACCAAACGGAGCAAUCCGCUGUGGGAUGGGCUCGCGGCCUAUUAGGUUGUUGGUGGGGUCACGGCUCACCAAGCCGACGAUGGGUAGCUGGCUUGAGAGGGUGGUCAGCCGGAUUGGGACUGCGACACGGCCCAGACUCCUACGGGAGGCAGCAAUUAGGAAUCUUGCGCAAUGGGGGAAACCCUGACGCAGCGACGCCGCGUGGCUGAUGAAGCCUUUCGGGGUGUAAAGGCCUUUUCUGGGGGAAGAGAAAGGACGGUACUCCAGGAAUAAGCGUCGGCUAACUACGUG
rnacentral:rRNA from 1 species